rnacentral:rRNA from 1 species
UGGGGAAUUUUGGACAAUGGGCGAAAGCCUGAUCCAGCAAUGCCGCGUGUGUGAAGAAGGCCUUCGGGUUGUAAAGCACUUUUGUCCGGAAAGAAAUCCUUGGCUCUAAUACAGUCGGGGGAUGACGGUACCGGAAGAAUAAGCACCGGCUAACUACGUGCCAGCAGCCGCGGUAAUACGUAGGGUGCAAGCGUUAAUCGGAAUUACUGGGCGUAAAGCGUGCGCAGGCGGUUUGCUAAGACCGAUGUGAAAUCCCCGGGCUCAACCUGGGAACUGCAUUGGUGACUGGCAGGCUAGAGUAUGGCAGAGGGGGGUAGAAUUCCACGUGUAGCAGUGAAAUGCGUAGAGAUGUGGAGGAAUACCGAUGGCGAAGGCAGCCCCCUGGGCCAAUACUGACGCUCAUGCACGAAAGCGUGGGGAGCAAACAGGAUUAGAUACCCUGGUAGUCCACGCCCCUAAACGAUGUCAACUAGUUGUUGGGGAUUCAUUUCCUUAGUAACGUAGCUAACGCGUGAAGUUGACCGCCUGGGGAGUACGGUCGCAAGAUUAAAACUCAAAUGAAUUGACGGGGUCAUAGCUGUUUCCU